rnacentral:rRNA from 1 species
GACGAACGCUGGCGGCGUGCUUAACACAUGCAAGUCGAACGGUGAAGCGCCUUCCUUUUUGGUGGGUGUGGAAGAGUGGCGAAAGGGUGAGUAACACGUGCGUAACCUGCCCGGUUCUUCUGGAUAACCGCAUGAAAGUGUGGCUAAGAAGGGCAAUUUUGGGUCUGUGGCGUGAUGGGUCUGGGGAGGAUGUUGUUUCGGUGGGGGAUGGGCUCGCGGCCUAUCAGCUUGUUGGUGGGGUGGUUGACUACUAAGGCGGUGACGGGUAAGCGGCGUGAGAGGUUGGACGGCCGAAAUGGUACUCAGACACGGCCCAGCCGCCUACGGGCGGCGACAGCGACGAAUAUCGGACGAUGGGCGCAAGCCUGAUGCAGCGACGGCGCGAGACAGAUAGACGCCUUCGGGUUGUGAACCUCUUUCGCCAGUGAAGCAGGCCUGCCUCGUCUGUGCGUUUUUUGACGGUAGCUGGAGAAGAAGCGCCGGCUAACUACGUG